GGGCGGUUGGCGCAGCGGAAGCGCAUCUCGCUUACAACGAGAGGGUCAGAGGUUCGAAUCCUCUACCGCCCA
rnacentral:tRNA from 1 species